UAACUGUAAAUAUACAAUUGAAGUUUUGUCCGUGUCACACAAAGACACACGCACCAAUGUGUGCAUCCAAUACCGGUUUAGCUGUUUCAAGUAGUAGUUUGUUGUCAAGCUCACCCUGCAGCGCCCCGUGACCCCGCCCCCCGAGGAAAUUCAGGAACGAGCGUGACACGUGAUUUAUUUGCUACAAUCCAGUAUGGCGGAAUUCUUCAGUGAAUGAUCUCAGGCGCUUUCCCCAACGGGUCCUAAACCCCACAAUCUGGUACCGUGCUGCUGGACCUUGGAAACCGUAAGAGACAAGAAAAUAAUCAAAACAAUUAAUGUUUAGAUGGUAUUUUUUCUGCUAGCGCUCCGCCUUUAAAGAAACACACUAAACACAUCUCCAGUACAGAAAUUGCAAGUGGAUAAAAUCUGGAUAAAGUCUGAUUUGGAAGUCUGUAGUUUACUACCGGAGCUCAAAGUGAACUUGAUAUGGGUUUCUCCUCCGAGUGCUAGCUAAAUUUUCACAUCCGGGGCCUCAGAGGAGUCACCGUAUGGUCGUCAUAGCAGCAGGCUUACAGGGUCGUCAUAGCAGCCGGCCUACAGUAUCGUCAUAGCAGCAGACCUACAGGGUGGUGGACAUCUACAGAUGCCUGCCAUGGUGUCACCAUGAUCCUCUGACCCAGCCCACUUCUCCAUCGCCUCGCUGCCUCCAUGACACUACCAGGGCAACAGAUGGUGUUCUCCAACCCCCCCACUGAGGAGCACUGAGGUCUUCUCACCCCACCUCUUCAUCCUCCUCCACCUGCUCACCAGUCCAGACAGGCAGCAGAACAAUGAGCUCACCUAGUCGCCCAGGUGGGCUGGGCCGGACAGAACAGACCCUGGACCUCCUCAAACCAUCUGGACUCAACCUCAUCCAGUCUGGUAGGAGCAUGGCCUCUUUCCACCUCUCACCGGGGUCUCUCUCUCUGUGUCUGUGUGUGUGUCUGUGUGUGUGGUUACUUGGUCUGCUCUGUGUGUGUGGUUACUUGGUCUGCUCUGUGUGUGUGGUUACUUGGUAUGUGUUUGUUGUGGGCCUCCAGAGCAUGUGUGUCGCUGCUGGAUUGCCUAGCAACGUGGAGGGAUGGCUCUGGGAUCACACACACCACCCCACACACACCACCCCACACACACCACCCCACACACACCAAUAUAC